AGAAGGGAAAUAAAAAAAAUCAUUUCAAUGCUUGAAAUUACAACUUCCUAUCUUACCCCAAACACUAGAACAUGGAAAGUGAUGGAGUUACUUCUGGCUGCCUCUGCAGAAAGCUGCCCCAAGGUCACGCUGUCAUGGAGCUGGCUGGGGGCCUGAGAGCUCAGACUGAGCCUUGAGGAGCCCCAGUGCUGCAGAAGCAUUUAUCUGUCCCCCAUGAAGGUGUUUGUAGUGUUUCAGCAGCUUUUUGGGUGCUCUGGAAAGCAGAUUUCUGCCUGAGAACAAACAGGUGGCAGGCUAGGAGAGAAAAUGAGGUGGAGUCUUUCAAACAAAAAAGAGCUGUUCACUGCAGAUAGCAGAGUGGAAGUAGACCUUUGAGAAAACCUGACAGGGGAUGUUGCACAGGUCUCAUGUAUAAUUAAUUCACAGGGCUCAGCAAUGCUUAGACCUGGUUCUCUCUCCACACACGUGCAUCCUAUGAUCCAGGUGCUCUUCACUCUGUUGUGAAGCAUGAAGUUGGCACCCCACUGCUCCCCCAGACUGCUCCAGCAGCCAUUGCCUGUCUGCAGUGCCCAAGGGCUCACCCCGGAGACAAGCAAGAGGAGCACUUCCCUUCUUCUCUAGGGCCAGUGCUUUCAAAACAUCUUGAAAUUUAAGUGCUGGUGUUAUUGGCAUUAAAGUGGUUAAUGUGGUAGUCUAACUCUAAAAUCAUGGCUGUAUAAGCCUAACCUCACUAUUAUUCUGUUAUUUUACUUCACAAGUUGCAUGUUGUCUAAUCCUGAUUUACUGCAUAUUUCUCAUAUAAAUUACUUUAAUGGACUCUUUGUCUGGGCUGCAUUGCCGUGACAGAGUGUGCUACAAGGUGUCACGUGAACAAGGUUAUAGAAAAGAUUGAAAAGACUACAAACUAUUGUGUGUGAGGAAUCACUCCUCUUGUAACUAUGCAGACAUGCAAGGGGUAGAGUUAAGGGCUAUGUGUACAGUCUUGACUUCAUAGCAUUUCUCACUGUGUGUGUUUAACCAUGCAACUCUGUUACUCUUGUAAUGGAGUAUUUUUCUAAUAGAGUUUGAGGGGAUUUUGUUCAAAAUGGAAGCCAUAAAGAUUCUGGAACACUAAAGUGGUGUGGAGGGAGAAAUGCUCCAAAUACGGCCCCUCCUGAUCUGACUUAAGCUCUGUCAGACCUGCUUAUCCUGCACAACCCAGUCCCUUGCCCCCACCUGCAUGUGUGCUGCCAGCCUGCACAUUCAGUGCUCUCCUGGCCACCAUGUGAGUUGAGCCUUGCACACUUUGCAGUCCUGCACCUUUCCUACUGUGGGCCCACGUUAUUAUGGCCCAUGUGUGUGAAGCUGUCACAGCAGGGAGUGCUCCACCUAUAGUCUGACCACAGGGGACACUUGAUUGUUAAGCUCAGCAGCAGGGUUCAAACACAUCAUAAUGGGUGAAGCUCCUUUGGCACCAAGACCAGGAGGAGUUUUGCUGCUUGAGCUGCUCUUGGUGAGCUUAGGGCUAGCAACAAUUCCCAGCAUAUGCCUCAGAUACAGCUCUGCAUUGUCCAGAGAUGGUUCUGCCUCCAACUUGAGGAGCAGGAGAGUUGAGCUGCUUCAGUGUGCUUUUUGCCACCUGUCAGCACUCUGCUUGAGGUCUGGCCAGCUGGUCCCCACACCUGCAAGCUCAUUAUGCCUCAUUGAGGGCAUAUUGUGGCAGUGGAGUUAUGGGCAUGUGGCAAAAAGCCAGCAUUGUGCAUCACCUGAUGAUUGCUGACAGGUGGGUCUGUAUCACCAGCUCACAUGGCAGGUUGCUGUGGUUACUGCAGAACCACUGAGGUUCUGCUGAGGAGGGACUGGCAAAAAGGCAGAGGAGCAGCGCCUGUGGGAACCUGCUGGAUGAUUCUCUCCAGGAAAGACAGCUUGAUGUACUGUCCUGGCCUCUUGCCACUUCUCCUUGUGCUGGUGAUGGUCCACCAAGUACAGUUAUUUUGCUUGGCCUUCUGAUGAGCUACAUAAACAGAUGUCUCUUGCAGUCCUGUUAUUUCAUAAGCAUCUCGUGUGCUUGAGGCCAGUGGGAUUAGCACGGAAAAUAUGAAGUUCCAGGCAUUCUCACGGUUUGCUGUCAUACUUCAGUUCUGAAGAAGGAAAAGGAAGUGAAUUUCCAUCGCUUUUCUUCA